UUAUGCCAUGUCUUUACCCGUUCUUAUUUGGGGUGAAUAUGGCUGGGAAGGAGGUGUAAUUCCUCCGCAGCCCCCGCUGCUGUGAUGCCGACGAACCCGCGAAACCACUGAUCUCACGAUUGGGAAGGGCGGGCGAGAAUGAAGCUAAGCCAGAAGACCGACGAAUCAUUUAAUUUAAAC
rnacentral:ncRNA from 2 species